rnacentral:rRNA from 1 species
CAAUAGCGUAUAUUAAAGCUGUUGCGGUUAAAAAGCUCGUAGUUGGAUUUCUGUCAAGGACAACUGGUCCGCCCUCCGGGUGAGCACAUAGUUUGGUCUUGACAUCUUGCUGGAAGCUGUUGCUGCACUUGGCUGUGUGGCGCAGUGUUCAGCACUUUCACUUUGAGGAAAUUGGAGUGUUUCAAGCAGGCACAUGCCUUUGGACACAGUAGCAUGGAAUAAUUAGAUUGGGCUUUUGCUCCAAUUUGUCGGUUUCUGGAGCUGAGGUGAGUAUUAAUGGGGAUUGUUGGGGGCAUCCGAAUUUAGCCGUCGGAGGUGAAAUUCUUGGAUCUGCUAAAGACGGACAACUGCGAAAGCGUUUGCCCAGGAUGUUUUCAUUGA